rnacentral:rRNA from 1 species
ACGGAAGGCAGCAGUGGGGAAUAUUGGGCAAUGGGCGAAAGCCUGACCCAGCAACGCCGCGUGAGGGAAGAAGGUCUUCGGAUUGUAAACCUUUGUCUUAUGGGACGAUAAUGACGGUACCAUAGGAGGAAGCCACGACUAACUACGUGCCAGCAGUCGCGGUAAUACGUAGGUGGCGAGCGUUAUCCGGAAUUAUUGGGUGUAAAGGGUGCGUAGGCGGGAUGUAAAGUCAGAUGUGAAAUACCGCAGCUUAACUGCGGGGCUGCAUUUGAAACUUAUGUUCUUGAGUGCGGUAGAGGUAAGUGGAAUUCCCAGUGUAGCGGUGAAAUGCGUAGAUAUUGGGAGGAACACCAGUGGCGAAGGCGACUUACUGGGCCGUUACUGACGCUGAGGCACGAAAGUGUGGGGAGCAAACAGGAUUAGAUACCCUGGUA